UGGAGAAAUAUGAUGAUAAUAAUCAGUAAAUAUCUUAGGACACCUUCUGACACAGUUUACUGUGUAUGAGAAAGACUUGUUAAUCUGAUUCUCCA
rfam:Arabidopsis lyrata subsp. lyrata unplaced genomic scaffold ARALYscaffold_8, whole genome shotgun sequence.